rnacentral:rRNA from 1 species
AGAGUUUGAUCAUGGCUCAGAACGAACGCUGGCGGCGUGUUUAAGACAUGCAAGUCGCACGGGAUUUUUCCAAGUAGCAAUACAAGGAAAAGUUCAGUGGCGCACGGGUGAGUAACACGUGAAUUACAUGCCCUUCAGUGGGGAAUAGCCCAGGGAAACUUGGAUUAAUACCCCAUGGUAUCGCAAGAUUAAAGGUGGCCAGCAAUGGCUGUCGCUGAAGGAUUGGUUCGCGCCCUAUCAGCUUGUUGGCGGGGUAACGGCCCACCAAGGCUACGACGGGUACCUGGUCUGAGAGGACGAUCAGGCACACUGGAACUGAGACACGGUCCAGACACCUACGGGUGGCAGCAGUCGAGAAUAAUUCACAAUGGGGGCAACCCUGAUGGUGCAACGCCGCGUGGAGGAUGACGGUCUUCGGAUUGUAAACUCCUGUCAUCCGGGAGUAAGGCGUGGAUGUUAACAGCAUACACGAUUGAUAGUACCGGAAGAGGAAGGGACGGCUAACUUCGUGCCAGCAGCCGCGGUAAUACGAAGGUCCCGAGCGUUGUUCGGAAUCACUGGGCGUAAAGGGAGCGUAGGCGGCGCGGUAAGUCAGAUGUGAAAUCCCGGGGCUCAACCCCGGAACUGCAUCCGAUACUGCCGUGCUAGAGGAUUGGAGAGGUAGCUGGAAUUCUUGGUGUAGCAGUGAAAUGCGUGGAGAUCAAGAGGAACACUCGUGGCGAAAGCGAGCUACUGGACAAUAUCUGACGCUGAGGCUCGAAGGCCAGGGUAGCGAAAGGGAUUAGAUACCCCUGUAGUCCUGGCAGUAAACGGUGCACGCUUGGUGUGAGGGGAAUCGACCCCCCUUGUGCCGGAGCUAACGCGUAAGCUGCCGCCUGA